rnacentral:lncRNA from 1 species
CAUUUAUCUGUGUUAAAGAGUACAAAUAACUCAGUUUCAGAGGAAUGCGAUUCUGGAAGUGUCUGCCUUACUGGAUUUCUGUUUUGAAAGCACUUGACUCAAGGGCCUAAGUCCUACUGAUUUUCACAGUUACAGAAGCUACUGCAUGAUGUAGUUCUGGUCAAUGUUUGAAAGUACAAUCAAGCAAAGCAAUAUUUCACUGGGGGUAGGGGGAGGUAAUGAAGAGGCCAUACUUCUUCACAUACCUCAGAAAACAGUGCCGGAACAGCAGGCUGGUCAAAGGAUGCAAAAAGCUUCGAAGCAGCAAACACAAUGUGCUCUUUGAUUAAGGACACAGACGCUUGUGCUGCACCUUCUGGAUGGGGAACCUUCUGCGGUGCGUGUGUCUCCACUGGAAAUUAUCAGUUGCAUACAAGUUCAAACAUGUCUAUCCGCAAAAUUUAACUUGCUAUUUAUCCUGCUUUUAAGGAAAGCAAAUUGUGUAAAAAAAUUUUCUGGGAAAAAGAAUAGCCUUUGGUGAAAGUCGUUUUAAGGAUUUAUCCAGCUUACAAUAAAAUCUGUGCUGAAAUCUUGCA